UUUGAUCCUGGCUCAGAUUGAACGCUGGCGGCAGGCCUAACACAUGCAAGUCGAGCGGCAGCGGGAAAGUAGCUUGCUACUUUUGCCGGCGAGCGGCGGACGGGUGAGUAAUGCCUGGGGAUCUGCCCAGUCGAGGGGGAUAACUACUGGAAACGGUAGCUAAUACCGCAUACGCCCUACGGGGGAAAGCAGGGGACCUUCGGGCCUUGCGCGAUUGGAUGAACCCAGGUGGGAUUAGCUAGUUGGUGAGGUAAUGGCUCACCAAGGCGACGAUCCCUAGCUGGUCUGAGAGGAUGAUCAGCCACACUGGAACUGAGACACGGUCCAGACUCCUACGGGAGGCAGCAGUGGGGAAUAUUGCACAAUGGGGGAAACCCUGAUGCAGCCAUGCCGCGUGUGUGAAGAAGGCCUUCGGGUUGUAAAGCACUUUCAGCGAGGAGGAAAGGUUGGUAGCUAAUAACUGCCAGCUGUGACGUACUCGCAGAAGAAGCACCGCUAACUCC
rnacentral:rRNA from 1 species